rnacentral:rRNA from 1 species
AACUUUCAACAUCGGAUCUCUUGGUUCUGGGAUCGAUGAAGAACGCAGCGAAAUGCGAUAAGUAAUGUGAAUUGCAGAAUUCAGUGAAUCAUCGAAUCUUUGAACGCACAUUGCGCCCCCUGGUAUUCCGGGGGGCAUGCCUGUCCGAGCGUCAUUA